rfam:Gemmata sp. SH-PL17, complete genome.
GGGGGCGAUCUGGUAUCGACCGGGUGUCGGAAGUGUUCGGUGGCGUGUCGUGGUUGAUCAGUUGGCCACGUAAAAAACUGAUCAAAAUUUAACUGCUGAACCGCAGUACUCCCUCGCGGCUUAAUAACCCGUGAGCCGUUCCGGUCUCUUCGCCUGAGAGGUACUGGUUCGGACGCAAGUCAGGCUCGUGGGAACUCGAGGGCCGGGGACACUACCCGGUCCGACUCGGCGGCCGUUCCCGCUAAAAAAAUCUGGCCGAUAGUUGUCCCGGGGUCCCGCCCGUAGGAACCCGGUCCGACGAACGCGCGGUAGCCCGUAAGGGCGUACCGCGGAAGUAAACGGGCUACACACGUAGAUGCCGGCGCGGAAGCGCCUCGGGACCGGGGUUCGAUUCCCCGCGCCUCCACUG